rnacentral:rRNA from 1 species
UGGGGAAUAUUGCGCAAUGGGGGCAACCCUGACGCAGCAAUACCGCGUGAGUGAAGAAGGUUUUCGGAUCGUAAAGCUCUGUUAUUGGGGAAGAAAAAAGACGGUACCCAAGAAGAAAGUCCCGGCUAACCACGUGCCAGCAGCCGCGGUAAUACGUAGGGGACAAGCGUUGUCCGGAUUUACUGGGCGUAAAGGGCACGCAGGCGGUUUUUUAAGUCAGAUGUGAAAGGUACCGGCUCAACCGGUGACAUGCAUUUGAAACUGAAAGACUUGAGUAUUGGAGAGGCAAGUGGAAUUCCUAGUGUAGCGGUGAAAUGCGUAGAUAUUAGGAGGAACACCGGUGGCGAAGGCGGCUACCUGGACCGAUAUUGACGCUGAGACGCGAAAGCGUGGGGAGCAAACA